GACGAACGCUGGCGGCGUGCUUAACACAUGCAAGUCUACGGGAAAGGGGUAGCAAUAUCCCGAGUAUAGUGGCGCACGGGUGAGUAACACGUAGGCAAUUUGCCUUUAGGACGGGGACAACUCCGCGAAAGCGGAGCUAAUACCCGAUAAUGCAGCGGCACCGCAUGGUGAUGUUGUUAAAGGCCCGCAAGGGCGCCUAUAGAUGAGCCUGCGUCCCAUUAGGUAGUUGGUGAGGUAACGGCCCACCAAGCCUGCGAUGGGUAGCUGGUCUGAGAGGAUGAUCAGCCACACUGGAACUGAGACACGGUCCAGACUCCUACGGGAGGCAGCAGUGAGGAAUAUUGCGCAAUGGCCGAAAGGCUGACGCAGCGACGCCGCGUGAAGGAUGAAGUCCGUUAGGAUGUAAACUUCUUUUGCAGGGGAUGAAUGUGGUGCUUUGCGCCAUUGACCGUACCCUGCGAAUAAGGAUCGGCUAACUACGUGCCAGCCGCCGCAGUAACAC
rnacentral:rRNA from 1 species